rnacentral:sRNA from 1 species
GUGUAAUGACACGUGUUUGAUUUUCAUAAAGGGUUGCCUCUUGUUUAGAAACGCUUGCGAUUUCCAUUUUGGCGACAAAUUAUCAAUAAUUUGUUUUAAUUGCUACAUUUACUGUUAUUUUUAAAUUGAUAUGAUACUAUACCCUCGUUUCGAAGGUGAGGCUGGUAUAUUGUUUUACUCUUGUGUGGAUGUCUGUCUGUGCCAAAUCACAGUAGUCGUCUUCUUUGUGGGGUAUCUGUAGUUUUGUCAACUGUGCCGUUCUCCAUAUUGCUUGGGUAAAGUGGAAAAAAUAUCCCUUGGUGGCGAUGCCAGGAAACAAUUUUCGGAAGGAGUUAUGGACUGCUGUCUCGAAAUUUGCUAGGGCACUGGUUAGGGAAAAUUGGAGGCAAAUGCCAAGUGUUAACUUUGUGUUUGACACAUUCGUUGCCCCCUAGUUUGUUGAGUUAUUCAGUGAAUAUGGAGAUGAUUAGACAUUACUUCAUCUCAACAACGAUUGGUGAAUUGGUUCAUUGUCUGGCUACUCUGGCUGUGGUAUUCGGGGUGGAUGUGUGGGGCAGUCUUUCGAAUCUUGUAGGAAUGUUUCUAUCUGCUGUAACGUCGCUGAACAACAUCCCGUUCCAACGCAUCGCCAGAAGUGCUUGCUGUCUGUUCUACUAUGAAUCCGUUAAAUGUAGCCAUUGUAGACAAUGUUUUGUCCUUUCCCGAUUGUAAUUAACUUUACAUUUAUCUGUGCAUUUGCCAUAGGUGAUGUAUAAUGAUGAUGUCUUGAUGUUAUCCUUGAAUAUAUACAGUUUUGUA